rnacentral:siRNA from 1 species
CAUGUGUUUCUGGAAAUGUCUU